rnacentral:rRNA from 1 species
GAGAGAGACAUGCGCGCAUAUCAAUAAGCGGAGGAAAAGAAACUAACAAGGAUUCCCUUAGUAACGGCGAGUGAAGCGGGAAGAGCUCAAAUUUGAAAUCUUCAAGGUUUUACCUUGACGAAUUGUAGUUUAAAGAAGUGUUUUUCUGCUGAAGUUUUGGUAAAAGUUCUCUGGAAUAGGACAUCAUAGAGGGUGAGAAUCCCGUAUUUGACCAUUAUUUUCAGCUUUGUGAUACACUUUCAAAGAGUCGGAUUGUUUGGGAAUGCAGUCCAAAAUGGGUGGUAAAUUUCAUCUAAAGCUAAAUAUUGGCGAGAGACCGAUAGCGAACAAGUACCGUGAGGGAAAGAUGAAAAGAACUUUGAAAAGAGAGUUAAACAGUACGUGAAAUUGUCAAAAGGGAAGCGUUUGACACCAGUGUUGUUUUCCUCGAAAAUCAAUUAAAAAUGGCUCGAUUUUGUAUUGCUGAGACCUUAAAAGCUCACUGUACAUUUUUCGUGUCUUUUUUAAUGCACUUUUCGUUUAACAAGUCAACAUCAGUUUCUUUUGUUGUAAAAGGGUCAUUGGAAGGUGGCUUUCUUUUCGGAGAAAGUGUUUAUAGCCUUUGGCCUCUGCAAUCGGAGAGGACUGAGGUCUGCAGCGUAGACUCUUCGGGGUUAGAUACAUUUGUGCUAAGUUAUAGCUUUUUAUAGACAACUUGUUGACUAUAAUUAGUCUUGUAGCUUACUCGCUUAUGCUAUUUUACCUACGCUUAGGAUGUUGAGUCGUAGAGCACGCAG